CUACGUGCCAGCAGCCGCGGUAAUACGUAGGUCCCGAGCGUUGUCCGGAUUUAUUGGGCGUAAAGCGAGCGCAGGCGGUUUGAUAAGUCUGAAGUUAAAGGCUGUGGCUCAACCAUAGUUCGCUUUGGAAACUGUCAAACUUGAGUGCAGAAGGGGAGAGUGGAAUUCCAUGUGUAGCGGUGAAAUGCGUAGAUAUAUGGAGGAACACCGGUGGCGAAAGCGGCUCUCUGGUCUGUAACUGACGCUGAGGCUCGAAAGCGUGGGGAGCGAACAGGAUUAGAUACCCUGGUAGUCCACGCCGUAAACGAUGAGUGCUAGGUGUUGGAUCCUUUCCGGGAUUCAGUGCCGCAGCUAACGCAUUAAGCAUUCCGCCUGGGGAGUACGACCGCAAGGUUGAAACUCAAAGGAAUUGACGGGGGCCCGCACAAGCGGUGGAGCAUGUGGUUUAAUUCAAAGCAACGCGAAGAACCUUACCAGGUCUUGACAUCCCGAUGCUAUUUCUAGAGAUAGAAAGUUA
rnacentral:rRNA from 1 species